GUUGUUUGCCGCUGGUGGAAUACUGUGGACCAGACGUCUGAGGUGACUGGGGAGAGGUAUAGUGUGGACAUUUUCCUGGUGGAUGCUGUCCUCUACAUCUCCAGCACUGAACUGGGAUUUUCUCAUUGAUGUCCUAAUUUUACCAGCUCUUCCACAGUAUUUACUCGGCUACGCAAUUGGCUGGCAAGGUACGGCUUGAUAUUCUUAAGUAUCAUCUUCACAAUCUCACCCUCUGUAAAAUCUGCCUUCCAUCUUUUACAGAGAGCUCUGUAAGAAAACGCGAAGUCUCUAAUGGAUUCUGUGUCUCUUUGAAUCCUAGUACGGACACGUUCAGCCAGUUCGUCCUCAUAAUCCUCAGAAAGGAAAGCAGAUAUGAAUGCAGUCUCAAACUCAAUCCAAGUGGUUAUGCUGGACCGUCUGACUUCCCACCAGUCUCGUGCUGUUCCGUACAAGACAGUACGGAAGGUAGCCAGGAUGUCUGCAUCUGUCAGGGGAUGUACAGCCAAAAAAUCCUGACAUUUAGUUAGGUACAAUAGGGGGUCUGCAUCGUCUGAAGGCCUUCCAAAUGUGGGGAAGGUUAAUUUAAUAUGGUCACUUUUAACCACAGAUGUUAACAGAGGGGUUGAAGAAGUUGAAAGAGUCACUGGAGCAAAAGGAGAUGGCUGGGAUGAAAUACUGGUAGUGCUGGGACCUGGUGCUGUCAGUACACUUAAUUUUUGUUGAUCUGCACUUUUUUUAACACUUUGAAAUCCUUUCUCCACUUCACUUUUCAACUCUUUGAAACCGGUGAGACAUUGAUCAGUUUGAGUAACACAUUGUUGGAGUUGUGAAGUUAUCUUAUUAUGGCUUGUUUGGAAAGUAUUUUGAACAGCUUUGAUGUCCUGCUGAACCUCUGCUUGGAGUUGAUCAACCAUGAAUCGUAGUUCGGACACCAAGCAAGAUCAGCAAUCUGGCUCUGGUGCUGAGAAGAGGUAUCUUUCACUUCCUGGGAGUUGGUAGAAUGUUGGGCAGGUCAUGUUGUGCCACUGACGAAGGAGUUCCACCUUCAGAAGAGGUGCAAAGUUGCAUGUUAUCCACUUGUGUUGCCCAGGUGAGAGUUUGUACUGGAGUGCUCCCAGCCAGAGCAGGAGAGGACAUGUGCACACGGGUUCCAGGAUGAACAGAACUGAGUGGAGUGGGGGUAUGGUAGAACACCGGAGCAUAUGGAGGUUGUUCCAGAGGCAUCCCUGGUCGCAGUGCAGGCGGCCAUACUGGAGUUGAGAUGUCUGGUGGAGGCUCAAUUUCCACAAAAGUAGUUUGGGAAGGAGGGGUAUGCGCCAUGAUUGCUGUGAUUGAGUGUAAGAAUGUUGAGUGUGAAAAACAAUAAAUAUCAGUAAAUGAGAUGUGUAUCAGUGUGUUUGUCCCUGAAAUAUUUCUACUAAACAACAGAAUACAACUUUUCACAACUGUUCAAUCAGUAUUAUCUCACAACCACUAGGUAAAUCAAAACAAUAAGUAUUCAAAGUAAUUCACCUUCACUUAUUUCAAAUAUUCAAACAAUUAUCAAUUACUGUGACACCUUAGAGAUAACACCUCUAAUUGUUCAUUUAGCGUUCACAGUUUAUACAAAAAAAAAAACAAUUUUCACAAGCAUAAACAAUUUACAAGAUUAAUUCAGACAGUUUCAUUGUUUCACUAAUUUUCCAAAAAAGAAAAAAUAUAUAUAUAAAGUUUUCAAAUCAAUGUUUCAGAGGUGCAUUUUUUUUUUUAAAGUGUUCAAUAGUUCACAGGGAUUGUCAAAAUCAAAAAACUCAAGUUUCAAGUGUUAAAGCAGGUUUCAGUUCAGGUCCCUGUUCGGGCGCCACUCUAUAACGGUGGUAGCCGCCCUAACUCAAAUACUAUUUUAAAGAAGAAAAAAAAACCUUCGGGCGCCAGACAGGAUUAAACCUAUCAAAAAUUAACUUAACCCCGGAUAGCAGGAAAAUAACCACCUGUUACACAACAAAUUAUAAUAAUAAUCCCAGACUAAAAGGUCAUCAGGAUAUUUAUUCUUCCAUAUGUUCAAAAUCAUAAUAACACAGAAAACUGAAAUGGACAACAAAAUAAAAAACAAAAAAAAACAAAAUAAGCAAUGACCACACGUUCCCACUAGCGGUCUCUGGUCUUCGAAAUCCGUGCCCGUGCCAGAAACCGACCGCGUCACGC
ensembl:lncRNA